rnacentral:lncRNA from 1 species
UUUUUUCAAAAGAAAGGUCUUUCUUUUUAUUUUUGGCCGUUCCUUUGUCAUAUUUUCUCCGCGUUCAUAAGCAGCGCCGUCGAAGGAGCUAUGGGCGGGCCGUACACGGAGGCGCGGGCAUAAAGGGGAGGAGAACGCACGGUAUGUCGGAUGCGAUCAUACCAGCACUAAAGCACGGGAUCCCAUCAGAACUCCGAAGUUAAGCGUGCUUGGGCGAGAGUAGUACUAGGAUGGGUGACCUCCUGGGAAGUCCUCGUGUUGCAUUCCUUUUUUUUGUUUGUUUUUUCAAAAGAAAGGUCUUUCUUUUUAUUUUUGGCCGUUCCUUUGUCAUAUUUUCUCCGCGUUCCUAGGCGGCGCCGUCGAAGGAGCUAUGGGCGGGCCGUACACGGAGGCGUUUGUUUUUUCAAAAGAAAGGUCUUUCUUUUUAUUUUUGGCCGUUCCUUUGUCAUAUUUUCUCCGCGUUCCUAGGCGGCGCCGUCGAAGGAGCUAUGGGCGGGCCGUACACGGAGGCGCGGGCAUAAAGGGGAGGAGAACGCACGGUAUGUCGGAUGCGAUCAUACCAGCACUAAAGCAGCGGAUCCCAUCAGAACUCCGAAGUUAAGCGUGCUUGGGCGAGAGUAGUACUAGGAUGGGUGACCUCCUGGGAAGUCCUCGUGUUGCAUUCCUUUUUUUUGUUUGUUUUUUCAAAAGAAAGGUCUUUCUUUUUAUUUUUGGCCGUUCCUUUGUCAUAUUUUCUCCGCGUUCCUAGGCGGCGCCGUCGAAGGAGCUAUGGGCGGGCCGUACACGGAGGCGCGGGCAUAAAGGGGAGGAGAACGCACGGUAUGUCGGAUGCGAUCAUACCAGCACUAAAGCACCGGAUCCCAUCAGAACUCCGAAGUUAAGCGUGCUUGGGCGAGAGUAGUACUAGGAUGGGUGACCUCCUGGGAAGUCCUCGUGUUGCAUUCCUUUUUUUUGUUUGUUUUUUCAAAAGAAAGGUCUUUCUUUUUAUUUUUGGCCGUUCCUUUGUCAUAUUUUCUCCGCGUUCCUAGGCGGCGCCGUCGAAGGAGCUAUGGGCGGGCCGUACACGGAUGCGUUUGUUUUUUCGGGAGAAAGGUCUUACUUUUGAUUUAUGGGCGUUCCUUUGUCAUAUUUUCUCCGCUUUCCUAGGCGGUCGCCGUCUAAGGAGCUAUGGGCGGGCCGUACACUGAGGCGCGUGCCUUCCGGGGAGGAGAACGCAUGGUAUGUCGGAUGCGAUCAUGCCAGCACUAAAGCACCGGAUCCCAUCAGAACUCCGAACUUAAGCGUGCUUGGGCGAGAGUAGUACUCAGGAUGGGUGACCUCCUGGGAAGUCCUCGUGUUGCCUUCCUUUUAUGCGCAUGCCUUUUCCGGAGACGGGUCUCUCUUCAGAUCUAUGGCCGUUCCUUUGUCAUAUGUUCUCCGCGUUCCUAGGCGGCGCCGUCGAAGGAGCUAUGGGCGGGCCGUACACGGAGGCGCGGGCAUAAAGGGGAGGAGAACGCACGGUAUGUCGGAUGCGAUCAUACCAGCACUAAAGCACCGGAUCCCAUCAGAACUCCGAAGUUAAGCGUGCUUGGGCGAGAGUAGUACUAGGAUGGGUGACCUCCUGGGAAGUCCUCGUGUUGCAUUCCUUUUAUUUGUUUGUUUUUUCAAAAGAAAGGUCUUUCUUUUUAUUUUUGGCCGUUCCUUUGUCAUAUUUACUCCGCGUUCAUAGGCGGCGCCGUCGAAGGAGCUAUGGGCGGGCCGUACACGGAGGCGCGGGCAUAAAGGGGAGGAGAACGCACGGUAUGUCGGAUGCGAUCAUACCAGCACUAAAGCACCGGAUCCCAUCAGAACUCCGAAGUUAAGCGUGCUUGGGCGAGAGUAGUACUAGGAUGGGUGACCUCCUGGGAAGUCCUCGUGUUGCAUUCCUUUUUUUUGUUUGUUUUUUCAAAAGAAAGGUCUUUCUUUUUAUUUUUGGCCGUUCCUUUGUCAUAUUUUCUCCGCGUUCCUAGGCGGCGCCGUCGAAGGAGCUAUGGGCGGGCCGUACACGGAGGCGCGGGCAUAAAGGGGAGGAGAACGCACGGUAUGUCGGAUGCGAUCAUACCAGCACUAAAGCACCGGAUCCCAUCAGAACUCCGAAGUUAAGCGUGCUUGGGCGAGAGUAGUACUAGGAUGGGUGACCUCCUGGGAAGUCCUCGUGUUGCAUUCCUUUUUUUUGUUUGUUUUUUCAAAAGAAAGGUCUUUCUUUUUAUUUUUGGCCGUUCCUUUGUCAUAUUUUCUCCGCGUUCCUAGGCGGCGCCGUCGAAGGAGCUAUGGGCGGGCCGUACACGGAGGCGUUUGUUUUUUCAAAAGAAAGGUCUUUCUUUUUAUUUUUGGCCGUUCCUUUGUCAUAUUUUCUCCGCGUUCCUAGGCGGCGCCGUCGAAGGAGCUAUGGGCGGGCCGUACACGGAGGCGCGGGCAUAAAGGGGAGGAGAACGCACGGUAUGUCGGAUGCGAUCAUACCAGCACUAAAGCACCGGAUCCCAUCAGAACUCCGAAGUUAAGCGUGCUUGGGCGAGAGUAGUACUAGGAUGGGUGACCUCCUGGGAAGUCCUCGUGUUGCAUUCCUUUUUUUUGUUUGUUUUUUCAAAAGAAAGGUCUUUCUUUUUAUUUUUGGCCGUUCCUUUGUCAUAUUUUCUCCGCGUUCCUAGGCGGCGCCGUCGAAGGAGCUUCUUCGUGGAACAAACNNNNNNNNNNNNNNNNNNNNNNNNNNNNNNNNNNNNNNNNNNNNNNNNNNNNNNNNNNNNNNNNNNNNNNNNNNNNNNNNNNNNNNNNNNNNNNNNNNNNUCAAAAGACAGGUCUUUCUUUUUAUUCGUGGCCGUUCCUUUGUCAUAUCUUGUCCGCGUUCGUAGGCGGCACCGUCCGAAGGAGUUAUGGUCGGGCAGUACACGGAGGCGUUUGUUUUUUCAAAAGAAAGGUCUUUCUUUUUAUUUUUGGCCGUUCCUUUGUCAUAUUUUCUCCGCGUUCCUAGGCGGCGCCGUCGAAGGAGCUAUGGGCGGGCCGUACACGGAGGCGCGGGCAUAAAGGGGAGGAGAACGCACGGUAUGUCGGAUGCGAUCAUACCAGCACUAAAGCACCGGAUCCCAUCAGAACUCCGAAGUUAAGCGUGCUUGGGCGAGAGUAGUACUAGGAUUGGGUGACCUCCUGGGAAGUCCUCGUGU